AUGUGGUCGGUUGAACACUCUAGCAUUCCUUUGCUUCCACAACGCCCAAGUCAUCCCUAUGAUGAAGGAGUCGAAUCCUCGGAUGGCCCUUCCUGUGAGAUUUCGUCGUUGCUGGAGCCACCAGUCUUGGAACCUGCUCAAGUUCGUCGGGAGGUCGAUGUUUAUCUGGAAGAUGUCGAAGCAUCGGUGCCAAACCUCCCUAUCAUAGACACAUUAGACAAGAAUGUGGUCUACGUUAUCCUCCUCUUGCAGGCAAGUGAAGCAGGCAGAGGGCUGAUCUUGCAAACCAUGUCGUGCUCGCCUAUCCGAAGUCCAUAA
rnacentral:rRNA from 1 species